rnacentral:rRNA from 1 species
GACGAACGCUGGCGGCGUGCUUAACACAUGGAAGUCGAGCGAUGAAGUUUCUUCGGAAAUGGAUUAGCGGCGAACGGGUGAGGAACGCGUGAAGAAUCUGCCCUCCACUUUGGGAUAACACCGGGAAACCGGUGCUAAUACUGAAUAUUGAAACAUAAAUGGCAUCACUGAGUUUUGAAAGAAUUUCGGUGGAGGAUGACUUCGCGGCCUAUCAGCUAGUUGGUGAGGUAAUGGCUCACCAAGGCAACGACGGGUAGCCGGCCUGAGAGGGCGACCGGCCACACUGGGACUGAGACACGGCCCAGACUCCUACGGGAGGCAGCAGUGGGGAAUAUUGGGCAAUGGAGGAAACUCUGACCCAGCGACGCCGCGUGCGGGAUGAAGGCCUUCGGGUUGUAAACCGCUUUCAGUAGGGAAGAAGCGAAAGUGACGGUACCUACAAAAGAAGCACCGGCUAACUAUGUGCCAGCCGCCGCGGUAA